rnacentral:misc_RNA from 1 species
GAAAUUUCAAGCACCAAAAAUUAAUAAUUCGACAAUUUGGUUCACAAAUACAGUGCCCAGUUCAUUGAUCAUUGCCAGCACCACUUGAAAUCAAAUUUGGUAGCACUGUUUAAUCAUUACCCCUUGACAGAUUAUCUGAAUUGUCCUACAGAACUUACCAAAGUCAACAUGUGCUAUCGACCUUGCCAGCUAGUUAUUGAUGGAACGGCCAUGAUUGAAUUUGCAGCUCUUUCCAUCUUAUAAAUUUCUUCAACAGCCUU